rnacentral:rRNA from 1 species
UUAACCUGGUUGAUCCUGCCAGUAAUAUAUGCUUGUCUCAAAGACUAAGCCAUGCACAUGUAAGACCGGCAUAGGAGCCGUUUCGGCGGCUCUCAUUGUCAAUCUGUGGACGGCUCAUUAUAACAGUUAUACUCGUAGCCACUGGUACGUUGGCGCAAGCCAAAAGGAUAACAUUGUUAACUGCAUCGAUAAUACUUGAUAGACGGAUCGGUUCACGCCGAUCGGUAUUAGCGUAUUCACUCACGUUGUGAGGAGACCGCGCUACUGUGACUCUUUGUUAAUUGCGGAUUUAUUCGUAAGAGACGGAGCAUCGACCAUUAGACGUGCGCAAGCACACAUGGUUUUUUGGACAGUGUUUUAAUAAGGCGCUGUUUAUUAGCUAUGCUAGUGGCCAGGAAGACGAAUUUCUUAUCUAUCAGCUUAAGUUGUCUUGGUAAGGGCAAGACACGGCGAUAACGGAUACGGAGAAUCAGUGUUUGAUUCCGGAGAGGGAGCCUUAAAAAUGGCUACUACAUCUAAGGACGGCAGCAGGCGCGAAAAUUGCCCAAUCUUAAUUUAAGGAGGCAGUGACAAGAAAUAACAGCUCUGCACCAUUCGGUGAAGAGGUACUAUUUAUAGUUUGGAAUGAUUUUAGAUUAAAAUUCUAUUAGAAACGACUAGAGGGAUAGUCUGGUGCCAGCAGCCGCGGUAAUUCCAGCUCUAGUAGUGUAUAUUAAUACUGUUGUAGUUAAAACGCUCGUAGUUGACCUAAGGUCUGUGAGUCUGUGCUCGGUCGUUGUCCGCUCCCGAGGCCCCUGUGUUAUAACGAGGGCUUUAGUUGCGGUUCAAAGAUCCUUGGUGAGACGCCUCCUUUUGGAGGAUAUCGCGAGUGCUUUCUUGCAGUCCACUCCUUGCCAAUUUAUUGGUAAGGCAUUUUGUACAACUGUAAACAAAUCAAAGUGCUCAAAGCAGGCAUUGUUAGGGGUUUCWGCCUCGAAUUUGCUCGCAUGAUUUAGCAUGGGAUUGUCUUAUAGCCGUGGUCGAAUCCUGUCUUCGGGCUGGUGAAGACCAUUGGCGCUUGUAAUGUGAAACAGGGAGAGGGCUCAAGAACUAUAGUGCUAGAGGUGAAAUUUAGAUACCACUAUAUGUCUAACUGAUGCGAAAGCUGUUAUUGCCCACUACAUUUCAGUCGAUCAGGAACGAAAGUUAGGGGAUCGAAGAUGAUUAGAUACCGUCGUAGUCCUAACUAUAAACGAUGCCAACAAGAGAUUGGUAGUGAAACCAUAAAUGACCCUCUCAGAAUCCAAGGGAAACCUCAAGUUUUUGGGCUCUAGGGGGAGUAUAGUCGCAAGGCCGAAACUUAAAGGAAUUGACGGAAAGGCACCACCAGGAGUGGAGUUUGCGGCUUAAUUCGACUCAACGCGGGAAAACUCACCAGGUCAGGACAGAGGUAUGAUUGACAGGUUGAUAGUCUUUUCUUGAUUCUCUGGAUGGUGGUGCAUGGCCGUUCUUAGUUCGUGGAGUGAUUUGUCUUGUUAAUUCAGUUAACGAACGAGACCUUAACCUAUUAACUAGCUAUAAGCUGGGCUUCGGCUCAGUUCGUUUAUUCGGUCGACUCGUAUGGGUCGUCCUUAAAACUUAUAAAAAGAGAUUCACUUUUGUGUUUCUCCGCUUCUUAGAGGGACAAUACUUCGUUUUUUUUAGAGUAAGGAAGUUUAAGGCAAUAACAGGUCUGUGAUGCCCUGAGAUGUUCUGGGCAGCACGCGUACUACACUGUUGAUACUAACAAGUUAGUACAAAGUAGUUACUUUUGUGACUACUAGCCUUCUCCUUAAAGGAGUGGGAAAUCUUAUCAAACAUUAACGUGACGGGGAUAGCUGUUUGGAAUUCCAACUUGAACGAGGAAUUCCUAGUAAACGCGAUUCAUCAUAUCGCKUUGAUUACGUCCCUGCCUUUUGUACACACCGCCCGUCGCUCCUACCGAUGGGAUAAGCAGGUGAAUUUGACGGACAGGAAUUUUUUUUCUUGAAAAUUAACUGAACCUUUUUAUUUGUAGGAAGGAGAAGUCRUAACAAGGUCUUCGUAGGUGAACCUGCAGAAGGAUCAA